AUCCAUAAUGGAUUCCUGGGACAUUUUCAGAUCUCCUUCCAGCUUCCUCUUCGCCCUUUCCAGGUCCGCCCGCAGUUUCUUCUCCUGCUCUAAGGAACCCUCAAGCUGAGAAGACACACAGAGACAAGGGCUUGCUCUGUUGCCCAAGCUAAAGUGCAGUGGUGUGAGUAUAGCCCACUGCAUCCUCACACUCCUGUGCUCAAGUGAUCCUCCCACCUCAGCCUCCCAAGUAGCUGGAACUACAAGAUGGAAUCUUGCUGCGACACCCAGGCUGGAGUGCAAUGGCACAAUCUCGGCUCACUGCAACCUUCGUUUCCCAGGUUCAAGCAACUCUCCUGCCUCAGCCUCCCAAGUAUCUGGGACUACAGGCGAGCGUCACCAUGCCUGGCUAAUUUUUGUAUUUUUAGUAGAGACGGGUUUCACCAUAUUGGCCAGGCUGGUCUUGAACUCCUGACUUCAAGUGAUCCAUCCACCUUGGCCUCUCAAAGUGCUGGGAUUACAGACGUGAGCCACCAUGUCUGGCAAUGUUUGUAGUUUCUUUCAUGAAUUUACCUCCUUUUAUUCUUUAAUCCCUGCUUAUCUCUAAAGAGUAAGUAACUGAAAGUAAUAAAAUGGAAUUUUCUCAACAAUA
rnacentral:antisense_RNA from 1 species